rnacentral:rRNA from 1 species
AGCGAACGCUGGCGGCAGGCCUAACACAUGCAAGUCGAGCGCCCAGCAUUGGGAGCGGCAGACUGGUGAGUAACGCGUGGGCAUCUGUCUAGUGGUACGGAACCACACGGGGAAACUCGUGCUAAUACCGUAUAAGUCCUUCGGGAGAAAGAUUUAUCGCCAUUAGAUGAACCCGCGUCUGAUUAGCUAGUUUUUGAGGUAACGGCUCACAAAGGCGACGAUCAGUAGCGGGUCUGAGAGGAUGAUCAGCCACACUGGGACUGAGACACGGGCCAGACUCCUACGGGAGGCAGCAGUGGGGAAUAUUGGACAAUGGGGGCAACCCUGAUCCAGCCAUGCCGCGUGAGUGAUGAAGGCCUUAGGGUUGUAAAGCUCUUUCGCUAGGGAAGAUAAUGACGGUACCUAGAUAAGAAGCCCCGGCUAACUUCGUGCCAGCAGCCGCGGUAACAC